rnacentral:rRNA from 1 species
GAUGAACGCUGGCGGCGUGCCUAAUACAUGCAAGUCGAGCGAACGGACGAGAAGCUUGCUUCGCUGAUGUUAGCGGCGGACGGGUGAGUAACACGUGGAUAACCUACCUAUAGGACUGGGAUAACUUGGGGAAACCGUAACUAAUACCGGAUAAUAUUUUGAACCGCAUGGGUCAAAAGUGAAAGACGGUCUUGCUGUCACUUAUAGAUGGAUCCGCGCUGCAUUAGCUAGUUGGUAAGGUAACGGCUUACCAAGGCAACGAUGAGUAGCCGACCUGAGAGGGCGACCGGCCACACUGGAACUGAGACACGGCCCAGACUCCUACGGGAGGCAGCAGUGGGGAAUCUUCCGCAAUGGGCGAAAGCCUGACGGAGCAACGCCGCGUGAGUGAUGAAGGUCUUCGGAUCGUAAAACUCUGUUAUCAGGGAAGAACAUAUGUGUACGUAACUGUGCACAGCUUGACGGUACCUGAUCAGAAAGCCACGGCUAACUACGUG